CAUAAUUUAUAUAAUAGUUCUUGAAAAACUGGUCAUUAUCGUGAUAUAUAUACUGCCCACAGGACAGUGGUAUUGACUAAGACAGUGAUAAUGACUGAACCGAAGGCGAGGUCAUUAUCGCUGUCGCAGUCAAUACCACUGUCCUACGGGCUACGGGCAGUCCAUGUAUCACGAUAAAGACCAGUUUUUCCAAGAACUAUUAUGUUUAUUUCAUUGAGAAACCAUGUUUUGGAAAAUUCUCAUAAAUUCAAAAUGACUAAAGCGAAUUCGAGUAGUUGUUAGAUAACUAUGGCAAAGAGUGAAGACCAGUCGUAGUAAUACUGACAUUCUUUUAGUGCAAUUUUUCAGUAUGGAAAUACUUAAUCAAGUUCUCUUUAGUUUUAUAAUUAACAAAAGCAUAUAAUAAACAAUUCAACAACUUAAAUAUAAUAUUAAAAAUAGGAAUCAUUUU
rnacentral:lncRNA from 1 species